ensembl:processed_transcript Hoxa11os homeobox A11, opposite strand
CUUCCUUUCUUUGUAGCCACCUCAGGGGAAGCAACAGAUCGUCACUCGGUGUUCUCACCGAAAGCACGUAAUCGCCGGUGUAACUCAUGUUGGCUGGGGGGCCUCCCCGCGCGCAGAAAGGCUGGGGUGCGCCCCCGGGCAGCUCUCCUUUGCUCAGCUACAUGGUCCUGGUCCACGAGUGCUCUGAGGGCGGCAAGAGAGCGCAACUCCUGACGCCUCCCCCCACUCCCCGGAACCCCUUCUCCUCGCUGCCUGUAGGGGUUCGGAGUGACUCCUCAGAGCCAGAGGCACUUCUGCUCACCGGUCCGCAAGCUGCCUGGUCUGCUGAAGCUGACGAAUCGGGAAACCAUGCAAUUGAGGCGAACCUUGGGCUGUUUUAGAGGCGCUGAGGAGCCUUCUCCUGGGAGGCCCAAGGUUGAUUUCAGCCCACCAGGAUCUGGGGAAGACCCAACUAGGGAUAAGAGCACACCAAAAGGCCAAGUCCGAGUUCCAUUUCUAGAAGAGGCGGCUUCCGGCAAGGCUAUGACAUUGGCCCUGGACAUUGGUUUCCCAGGAGCUGCUUUUUCUCAAGAACUCCACAGCACGGGGCUGUCUCCAGAAAACGCUCUUCAACGUUUAUUUCUUUUAAUCGUCGCCCGGAGCCCUAAGGCGGCUAAUGCAAGAGGCCAAAAAUGUUUGGAGGAAGAAAAACAAAGGCAGGAAGUGGCCGCGGCCUGACGGUGCGUGUGUGUCUGUAAAGAAGGGAGGGAGCCGGUUCAACCUCCCCUCGUUUUCCCGAACUUCAAGGUCUAGGCAGACCCCCUUAGGGCCUUGCCGAGGCUCGCCCCCACACCCCCAGCGGCGCAGCAUUUGGAGGUGGCCAACGAUUUAAGCCUCGGUCGGGCUGAAAGGAGAUUUGAUCGGCAGAACAAACCAACCCUUUUCGGAGGUUUCUUUUGAUUUGGUCCUAAAGGGUAUAUGCUAGUGUCCACAGCGGCUGGGGUGGCUGCUGUUUUCCUCCCGCCGGGCUAAAAGUACCAAGAAGGGAGGGAGGGAGAGAGAUUCAGGCACCUUGCGCUGGCUGCACUCUCCUUCUGAGAUAGAAUACCAGAAUAAAGUGUAUUCAGGUGCCUCUGC